GACGAACGCUGGCGGCGUGCUUAACACAUGCAAGUCGAACGGAAAGGCCCUGCUUUUGUGGGGUGCUCGAGUGGCGAACGGGUGAGUAACACGUGAGUAACCUGCCCUUGACUUUGGGAUAACUUCAGGAAACUGGGGCUAAUACCGGAUAGGAGCUCCUGCUGCAUGGUGGGGGUUGGAAAGUUUCGGCGGUUGGGGAUGGACUCGCGGCUUAUCAGCUUGUUGGUGGGGUAGUGGCUUACCAAGGCUUUGACGGGUAGCCGGCCUGAGAGGGUGACCGGCCACCUUGGGACUGAGAUACGGCCCAGACUCCUACGGGAUGCAGCAGUGGGGAAUAUUGCACAAUGGGCGGAAGCCUGAUGCAGCAACGCCGCGUGCGGGAUGACGGCCUUCGGGUUGUAGACCGCUUUCGCCUGUGACGAAGCGUGAGUGACGGUAAUGGGUAAAGAAGCACCGGCUACCUACGUG
rnacentral:rRNA from 1 species